AGCGCAGACGGUUAUUUAAGUCUGAAGUGAAGGCCCUCAGCUCAACUGAGGAAUGGCUUUGGAAACUGGAUGACUUGAGUGCAGUAGAGGAAAGUGGAACUCCAUGUGUAGCGGUGAAAUGCGUAGAUAUAUGGAAGAACACCAGUGGCGAAGGCGGCUUUCUGGACUGUAACUGACGUUGAGGCUCGAAAGUGUGGUAGCAAACA
rnacentral:rRNA from 1 species